UGAGCAAUCUGCCCUUCUCUUCGGAAUAAGCGUUGGAAACGACGUCUAAUGCCGAAUACGACCUCCUUUCGCAUGAUCGGAGGUGGAAAGCUCCGGCGGAGAAGGAUGAGCUCGCGGCCUAUCAGCUAGUUGGUGUGGGUAAUGGCCCACCAAGGCGACGACGGGUAGCCGGCCUGAGAGGGUGACCGGCCACACUGGGACUGAGACACGGCCCAGACCUCCGUACGGGAGG
rnacentral:rRNA from 1 species